rnacentral:misc_RNA from 1 species
AGAGAAUGAAUACAUUUCAAAAAAAGGUAGUAGAGAGAGAGGGAAUGAAAAUAAUCAGAGAGAUGAUUAUUCAGUCACCAUCUCCACAAGUUCCAAUCUCCGCAAUUUCUCUCAUUGGUUUCAUUUUCUCUUUCUCUCCAUCUUCAAUAUCAUAUUAAUCCUUCCUUUCCAUUUUCUUUUUGAUCCAUUAUACGCCUUGUUGAUCUAACGC